CAUCUUUCACUUUUAUACCUCCUCCAUAACGGAUCUAAUACGAGAUCAUCAAGAUUCAAGGCCAUUCGCUUCUCUUCAACUUCCCUCGCUGAAUACCGUCACUGGAUUNNNNNNNNCUCUCCUGCUAGAUAGAGAUAAGGGAACAUAAGAUGAAGGCGACGAAGAGGCCGAUCCAUGCAGUGGCCUCAUGGGUCCAGAGGCAACCGCCC
rnacentral:misc_RNA from 1 species